rnacentral:rRNA from 1 species
AUUGAACGCUGGCGGCAUGCCUUACACAUGCAAGUCGAACGGUAACAGGUCUUCGGAUGCUGACGAGUGGCGCACGGGUGCGUAAUACAUCGGAACGUGCCCGAUCGUGGGGGAUAACGAAGCGAAAGCUUUGCUAAUACCGCAUACGAUCUACGGAUGAAAGCAGGGGACCGCAAGGCCUUGCGCGAACGGAGCGGCCGAUGGCAGAUUAGGUAGUUGGUGGGAUAAAAGCUUACCAAGCCGACGAUCUGUAGCUGGUCUGAGAGGACGACCAGCCACACUGGGACUGAGACACGGCCCAGACUCCUACGGGAGGCAGCAGUGGGGAAUUUUGGACAAAGGGCGAAAGCCUGAUCCAGCCAUGCCGCGUGCAGGAUGAAGGCCUUCGGGUUGUAAACUGCUUUUGUACGGAACGAAAAGACUCUGGUUAAUACCUGGGGUCCAUGACGGUACCGUAAGAAUAAGCACCGGCUAACUACGUG